ACUACGGGUGGCAGCAGUGAGGAAUAUUGGUCAAUGGGCGGAAGCCUGAACCAGCCAAGUAGCGUGCGGGAUGAAGGCCCUACGGGUCGUAAACCGCUUUUGCACGGGGAUAACACCCUCCACUUGUGGAGGUCUGCAGGUACCGUGCGAAUAAGGGCCGGCUACUUCCGUGCCAGCAGCCGCGGUAAUACGGAAGGCCCGAGCGUUAUCCGGAUUCCUUGGGCGUAAAGGGAGCGUAGGCGGGCGUUCAAGUCAGCGGUAAAAUCGCGCGGCUCAACCGCGCCCCGCAGUUGAAACUGGACGACUUGAGUUAACAACAGGCAGGCGGAAUUCGUGGUGUAGCGGUGAAAUGCAUAGAGCUCACGAGGAACCCCGAUUGCGAAGGCAGCCUGCCGGGGUGCGACUGACGCUGAGGCUCGAAGGUGCGGGUAUCAAACAGGAUUAGAUACCCCGGUAGUC
rnacentral:rRNA from 1 species